UACGGGGGGGGCAAGCGUUGUUCGGAAUUACUGGGCGUAAAGGGCUCGUAGGUGGUCAACUAAGUCGGACGUGAAAUCCCUCGGCUUAACCGGGGAACUGCGUCCGAUACUGGAUGACUUGAGUUCGGGAGAGGGAUGCGGAAUUCCAGGUGUAGCGGUGAAAUGCGUAGAUAUCGAGAGGAACACCUGCGGCGAAGGCGGGUUGCUGGGCUGACACUGACGCUGAUGCGCGAAAGCCAGGGGAGCGAACGGG
rnacentral:rRNA from 1 species